GAUGAACGCUAGCGGCAGGCCUAACACAUGCAAGUCGAGGGGUAACAGAGGGUGCUUGCACCCUGCUGACGACCGGCGCACGGGUGCGUAACGCGUAUGCAACCUACCUUCUACAGGGGGAUAGCCCAGAGAAAUUUGGAAUAAUACCCCAUACGAUCUUUACUUGGCAUCGAGUAAAGAAGAAAACUUUUGUGGUAGAAGAUGGGCAUGCGUCCUAUUAGUUAGUUGGUGAGGUAACGGCUCACCAAGACAUCGAUAGGUAGGGGCCCUGAGAGGGGGAUCCCCCACACUGGUACUGAGACACGGACCAGACUCCUACGGGAGGCAGCAGUGAGGAAUAUUGGACAAUGGGGGCAACCCUGAUCCAGCCAUGCCGCGUGCAGGAAGACUGCCCUAUGGGUUGUAAACUGCUUUUAUACAGGAAGAAACUGCGCUACGUGUAGCGUACUGACGGUACUGUAAGAAUAAGGAUCGGCUAACUCCGUGCCAGCCGCCGCCGUAACAC
rnacentral:rRNA from 1 species